rnacentral:lncRNA from 1 species
UGUGCCUUAUUCGAGAAGAAUUUUGGAGCCUUGGAUUGUUGAGGGACAUGGACUCGCAUGGCAAGGACAUAUACAUUGAGGACUUUUAUGUUGUCCCUGUGUGGAAAGAAACUCCUAACAACAUUGUUACUGGAUUACCGGAAAAUUGCUUACCAAGUGGAUCAUGGGACAUGGUCUGAAAAGACUGGAUAUGAUUUUCCAGCUUUGCCACGUCAGACAAGAGGGAAUGAUUGCGGUGUUUUUGUACUCAUGUACACCCUCUCAAUGGUGUGUGGCAUUGGGUUUCAAUUCCAGGAGAUGGAUAUACCUAUCAUCCGUCAGUGGUGGUGCCUUCUACUCAUGGAACAAUUUCAAACUGAUGGUAUAUCAUCGACUCGGUCCCAGUAACUCCCCUCGCUGGCCAGCAGAGGCCACCAUCUCCGGACUUUUAGCAUUACAUCAUCCAUCUACACUGAUUGCGCAUACACCUGAUUGGAAUCUGGCUAAUGACCCACGUACCUCUUAUAAGCCGCACUCAAACACUCGUUCAAGGCGAAGUCUUGUUUAGCCCCGGCCAGCAUUUCUGAGCAUUAUUUCCAGCCUGAUCUCCUGUGCACGACUCCAGCCUGUCUCUUACUUUGCUUCGCCUUCUGCCUGCCCACG